UUGAAUCUGAGUUAUUUAUCUUCAGCAUAAAUUGUUGGCUAACAGCCCCGCUGCUUAUGUGGGGGUAAUUUGAUCUAUCAUCUGUCAUCUCCCAACCAAUAUAUAAACAGCGUUUAUAUGGUCUGUGCUGUAUAAUCUCCCUUCGCAGUCUAAUUUUACCUCCUAUUCUAUCAAAGGAUGUCCGUCACAUUUCAAAUGACAUCAUCUCGUGUUUUAUUAGUGGUCUUCGCUUUGACAGGGUAGAUAUUACAUCGAUGUGACACGGGGCUUGCAUUUUAUUCACCGGCGUUAUGAAUCACAUGUACCGGUCGACAUUGAAAACGCCCCUAGGCUGUUCUUCAUACUUUAAUGACCUGUAUGCCUGGAGAUGUCAAACCACCUCUGGCCUGUAAGUCUUGUUCUUCCAGCCAAUACUUUUCCAGCUUCCAGGUGUUAACCUCCACAGUCUAUCUCCCCCCUAGCUGACAGCUGUCCUGACCCAACCACAAUCCCCGGGCGGUGUGCGAUGUGUGUGUUCCCUCCGUCUACAAUGCGGUGUUUCAGAGCUGUGACUAAGCCAUUAUAAUUGCUCCACUUUGUUAGGGAUGUAGCUACGCAGGUGUGGCGACAAAUUGGAAAGGUUGAUUUCCAAAUUUUUAUAAGUGAAGCUAACAAGCUAGCCUAACCAAUUAGCCACUGUGCUGUUAAUGAAUGGCUCAGUGAAGCCCAAAAACACCAAAAAAAAGUGUAGCUGGGUUUUGAUAAAUCCUUGCUUCAGCCAAUGAACUCUUCUGAAGCUGAACAUGUAUUUGGCACAGUGUGAGAUGCCGGAAGGUAAUCUGUAUGGAAGUCUAUUAGAUCCAAAAUAUUAGCACACAGUAUUUAAACCCAAAAAAAACACCAACAGUGGCUUGGACAACGGGUUAAGACACAUUCAUGUAAACACACAGCAAAAGUCAUGUUGUACACAUAAACAGCUUCCCAGUUUGCGUGCCUGCAUGUGUGUGGGUGUGUGUGCGUAAAUGUCUGUGUGUAUAUGCCUGUGUGUGUGUGUUUUUGUCUGUUUGUGUUUGUGUGCGGGUGUUUGUGCAUACGUUUGUCUGUGAGUGUGCGUGCUUGCUUGCGUGCUUGCAUGCAUGUGUGCUUGCGUGCGUGUGUGUCUUCCGGCGCACUUCUGAGCUCCAGGUCUCUGUGUGUGUUGCUGUCGUCUCCAGACGACAGGGGCAUAUGGGCCUGAUCAAUCCUACCGACACUCACAUUUAGCUUCUGUACCGCAACCGCCACAGCUGUCCCACUCUCGGCUCCGUAACUCUCCCCUUCACGACGGCUUUACUUACACAUCUGUUUCUGUAUUCAGGUUGGUGUUCAAAAGGCACCUCAGACAUACGAGUUGGUGUUUGAAGCUAAGUCACUUGGAUGGUUGUUUAUAAUUCCGUCAGGCUAGUACAGCAGGAUGCAUCAUGGGACUUUGUGUCGGCGAUACCCAGUCAUAUAGUAAUUCGUAGAACUGUAAAAUCCCAGCUGACUUCUCACAGUUCAUUCCCAUAUUUGUGGGAAUGAGGCCCAACGUAUAAUCAAAGAGUCGAAAAUAACCUACUUUUCUGAACAGAUAAACAAAAACAAGGACAAACCCCAGAAAUUGUGGAAGGUUCUGAAAAAUCUAGGAUGCUUAUCUAAGACAAAAAGCACUCCCAGUUCUUGUAUUACUCUCUCAUUGAUGGAAUUAGGUAAAUAAGAAGGAGGAUAUUGCCAAUCACUUUAACACUUAUUUUACCUCAGUUGCCCAUAAACUUGUGGAGAAGCCCAAGAUUGUACUGGCCUGAACACGGUCAGGAUUUUCAUGCUAAGAUAGGUGUGACUCCCAAUAGUUUUUCCUUCAAUCCUAUGUCGGUAGAAAAAAUCGGCAACAUGCUAAAGGGCCUUAACUCUGCCAAAGCCAAAGGGCUAGAUAAUAUCUCAGCCAGGUUCUUGAAAGAUGCAGCUGAUCUCAUCAUGGCCCCUUUUAUUGCUCAUAUUAUUAAUCUGUCUUUGGAGCAAGGCACUGUUACUGAUGACAUGAAACAUUCUAAAGUCAUCCCACUAUUCAAGAAAGGUGAUAGGUCUGAUCCGGACAAUUAUCGAACAGUUUCUAUAUUGAGUGUAGUCUCCAAGGUCCUGGAGAAAGUAGUUCAUGAACAAUUGUAUCAAUAUGCUGUGCAUGCCAAACUGUACCUAACUGACUUCAUAAGGGUGACUUCAAAUAUAAGUCAAUAGUCUUUUGCAAUAGUCGGCAAACGGGUAACUGGUAACUUGUGGAGUCUCACAAGGGAGCGUCUUAGGGCCAUUACUGUUUUUAAUCUACAUCAAUGGCAUGAAGUCCGCCUGCAAUGAGAACUUGUUGUUAUAUGCUGAUGAUUCAGCUUUUAUAGCCUCCAACAAAAAUGAGCUUGAGCUGCAUGCCAUUUUGCAAGAUGUAUUGUAUUGUAAGAGGAAUUCAGUAAGAUCAGGGUCUGGCUAUUAGACAAUAAAUUGACUCUUCAUGUGGCCAAAACUGAAUUCAUAGUGUUUGGCUCUAAGCCAAGACUGCAAAAGAAAGAGUUGUCCAGUAUCAGCCUUGGUGGGCAGCUCUUCCCUGCCAAGCCCUCAGUGACCUAUUUAGGAUACUGUUUAGACAGCAACCUAGAUGGGGGGAGCAUUGCUUCAAAGGUCAUGAGCAAGGUAAAUGGCCAAUCCAGAUUCCUAGCUAGGAAAGCUCCAUUCGUUGAUGCAGUUAGCCUCAGACUGCUAGCUAAUUCACUUGUUUUAUGUUGCUUUGAUUACGGCCUUGGCACAUGGUAUGAUGGUCUUACUAAGGCCCUAAAAGACAAACUGCAGGUUUCUCAGAAUAGGUUAGUCAGGGUAGUGCUGGGGCUCACAUCAAGGGAUCAUGUGGGUAAGCUCCAGUUCCAACAGCUGGGCUGGCUCCCCCUGGAGGCUAGGGCAGUUCAGCUCCAGCUCAGGGUGGUCCAUAAUGUUUGCCAUCACAAGUCACCGGCAUACCUUAAAAACCACUUCAUAAGGAGUAGGGAUGCCCAUGCUUACCACACCAGAGCUAGUAAUGAAGACUUGUACUUGCCUAAGUUCAAACCAAACAUUGGUAAGUGUACUCUCAAAUAUAUAUUGGUGAGGUGAACUGGAAUAAAUUACCUUUGGAAAUUAACUAUCAUUGUUUCAGAAAAAAGGUAAAAUCCUGGCUCAUGGUGAAUUUAAAUCCCUAGAGACACUAACAUGUCUUCCUCCAUGUGAGUUGUUGUCUGUUGGUUUUUGUCUAUGUGUGCACUUUGUACUUUAAUACAGAAAGUAAGGGUUAGGGAAGACUAUUUUAUGUUAAGCCUCUCAUAGUCUAUUUCUUUUUAUGAUGUUCAAUUUUUUGUUUAAUUUGGAUAUAUGUCCUGUCUUGUAACAUCAGGGACCAUGAUGGAAAUAAGUGCUUGCACUUUGUCAUGUUUUUCUUCUCUCCCUUGGAUAUGUCUUUAUUCCAAAUAAAUCAAAUCAAAUCUAAUCAACAACUUGGUGUUUGAAGCUAAAUCCAGUCGCUUAGAUGGUUCUGUCUAAUUAUGUCAGGCUAGUACAUCAGGAUGCGUCAUGGGAUUUUGUGUUGGCCAUUCUGCGUCAUAGAGUAAUUUGUAGCACGGUCAAAUCAAUGUCAACAUACCGUAACCUAGGUUAAUUGCCACGUCUCACAUGGGAAACGCUGUGGCUGUUUCAAACACGUCUCCCCAUGAUGACAAAUCAUUUCAUGAUGGCUUGCUAUACUAUGACCCCAAAAUGUUGCUCCUAAGAUGAUUAUUGCCCUUCCAAUGCUCCGAUGUUUCCAAAAUAGAUGUACAAGUCCUAUUAGAUCACUAUAUUAGAUCAUGUGGUCAGAUGUUAUUAGAUCUUGCCAACAAAACAGCACUGCAACAGUGAUUGGUCUCAUUUACUGUUGCACGGAGACACAGUACUCAGUACUGAUGUUUCUGUAUUGCAGAAACAUCUCAUUAGACCGGUAGUACCACGAGAGUUCAAGGUGGGGUUGACGAUAAUGAACAGCUAUAGCGCAGGUUGUUUUGGCAGACUAUCACCUUUACGUAAGUAUCAUGUAAUUACUUUAUAAAUGUUGUAUUUAUGUAAGCAGGAUAGAUAAAUACUAGAAUAGGAGAAUGUUUUUGUAGCCAUUACGGAGCUGGUACUUCCUCCUCUUUAUAUAGAAGACCGUUUGCAAUCAUUGCAGUGUACCUUUACCGUACCUAGAGGAAAGUAGAACAUAUUAUGAGUGUAUUGCAUAAGCUUUCCCUUUAUGCAAAAUGGCCGCUCAACAGAGCGUUCCGUAUGCAACAUAUCAAAGUGUUUAAAGGAAACCGAAUGAGUGCUCAGACCGCGCUGCUAUUGUUCGCUACACGGAUCUCCUCAGUUCUCUGAGCGCUCUUCUCCCUCCCUCGUGGUGGAAUCUGUGUAAUGGAAUGCACUUGAGACGGUAUCAGCCAUUGUUUGUGAGAAUGUGCCGUUUUAUUUAGCACUUAAGAAACCACCCCCUACAUUCUGCGCCUUUGAAAUUGUGAUUUGCGAGAGGGAGUGUCUCCCCAUAAUGUAAUCUGAGACCUCUUAGUCUGCCCUGGACUGGCUGUCAGGUUCAAUUAGGUUCAGAGUGGGCAUCGCUGCGCAGCAUCUCUGCAGGGAGAUGAUUCUGCGCGGUGCAGUGGAGGCACGCUGGGACUGUCUGCAGGUCACAAGGAACUACUGACUCAAUGAGACAUAAUGGGACACAACCCAGAAAGACACAACGCAACAAUGCACGACGCAUCACAGCAGUGGACCUCAAAAUGACAGUACACAACACAACACAGGAAUAUACCUCCAAAAAGACUACCUGCACAACUCUCAACACUAGUCUGUGUUAAAAACACAACGUAACACAAAACGACAGUACGCAACACAAUACGAACCCACAUCACAGUACACACACAAACCCAACACAACUGCACACAACAAAGCAAAACAUAGCACCAAGUAACAUAACGCAAAAAAUCCCAACACUGUACAACACAACCUGACAAAGCGGUACGACACAACAGAACUGAACAAAACACCACCACCUCGCACAUCUCAAGACUACCAACACAACACACAAAUGUGGUCGAUCGUGACUGCAUGCGACUCAACCAUAUCACCCUCUUGUGUGUCAUACAUACACAUUGUUGUGUCUUGACCUUACGGCUAUACACUUCCCUGGACUCACAGCAGAACUCUGAAACACUAAUCACCGAUCACAAUGGCGGCGGCACGGCGAAUCACCAUCUCCCCCUCACUCUCCUCUCUCUUUUCCCUUCUCCGGCAGCUCUCAGCCCGUGGAUCUCGUUUUUUUCCUACCUCGGUGUGAGAGACUACUCCCAGCUGACCCUUGACCUGACGAGGAAUGAGCUGAUCUUGGGCGCCAGAAACUACCUCUUCCGACUGGACCUGGGUAACAUGUCAUUAAUACAGGUAUGGGCCCAUUUUCUACUUCUGAUCCUCAGCCCUGCAAGUCUCUUCCACUCUAUUCCUAUCUCUCUCUCUCCCUCUCUCUGUCUCUCACCGUGUCUCUCUCUGUUUCUCUCUGUCUCUCACUCAUCAUUAUGUAUCGCCUCUCACUCUGCUGUGAGGAUGUUCCUCUCGAGUGUCUGAGUGACUUUCCUCAGACACCAGAGAGACUUUCCUCAGACACUCUUCCUCCUCCUCCACCACCUCCUCCCAUCCCCUCGCCCUCCUACCGUCUGUCGUCAUGUGGUCCAGUGAGACACGUCUCCUGGCCUGCUCUGUUCUUUGAUGUCGUCAUUGGCAUGGGGACACAUUCAGUGCUGCGAUACCUCUGAGGGGGUGGAGGUGGUGCAUAUUUUUGCAAAAGAGUGUAUGCGUGUGUGUGUGUGUGUGUGUGUGUGUGUGUGUGUGUGUGCGUGUGUGUCUGUGUGUCUGUCAGUGUGUAUGUGUGUGUGUGUGUGUGUCUAUGUGUCUGUCAGUGUGUGUGUGUGUGUGUUUGUGUCAGUUUGUGUGUGUCUGUCUGUGUGUGUCUGUGUGUGUGUGUGUCUUUCUGUGUGUGUCUUUGUGUGUGUGUGCAGGUGGGUGCUUGCGUCGGUCUGCCUAUGUUUAGCUCAACAAUGUGAGGGACACUCCUCAGUUGUCCUGGAGCAGAAUGAGUUAUGGUUGCGUUGGGCUCCGGGCCCCUCCACGAUGAAUUGCUCUGGGAGGACUAUAAAGCAUAUAUCAUCAUAGUGGGCUGGUACUCUGAUCCAUAAGAAGAGCUGCUACAAGGGCCCUGUUUACACCAGAGAAACAUCUAGAACUUCCACAAGCGUUUUGGAAUUUAUUUUUGAAACACUGCUUCACAGCGCUCAGAAGCCCGGUGUCCGACCGUUUGCACGUAAGGGCGGUGUACCAGAGAUCCCCGCUUUGCAUGCACACUCACACACAGGUUUCAGAUCUGUACCACAUCAGUGCUUUACACAACCUCCCUGAAUCGGCCGAUAUGUAGCAACCGGGAUGUACCAGUUUACAAAGCUAUGGGCGAUGCCAUGACUCACGGUUAAUGACCUAGAUGCAAGGUCCGAUGGAAGGUCCGGUAGAAUCAUAAGACAGGUGGGCACAGCGCGCCGAUGUUUCAGACAAAUGUGCGCAUUUACGCCCAAGCGCUUCGUAUUGGUCGACGACCCGUGUCGUCGGAGCAUGUGACUUGACAGCGCCUCUGUUAGAGAUCAGGUCAAGAAGACAACCUCUCUCUUGUCAAUCUGGACUGACUGAAGAUUAACCUCAGAAGGUGGUUUUGAUUGAACGAUUGCCUGCAUCUCUUGUACAGCGUUUCCUGUUUGGACAGAGAAAAUGUCAGUCUUUGAUUUGCUAGCCAUAGCCUGUUUUGAAGAGAGACAUAGAGCCGGAGAGAUUAGACCGGUCUUGUAUGUCUGUAGCUUCUAUAUGCAUGGUUAUAUAUGUUACAGUUUUUGUUUUAUACUCGCUGUACACUUUUGUUUGACAAACAUAAUUGGCGGUUUAUGUUUCAAGUUCAUGCAGAGUUGACUGCAUGAAUAUAGUAGAGUAUAUAAAUGUAUUGAGACACUUUUAUUUGUUUUUGUUAUGAUGUGAGCUGCGUAAAUGUACCACGCUUUGAAAAAAUAAUUUACCAUUGGGUAAAUCGCUGUACAAAUUUUCUGAAAAGGUCUCCAAGGCCAUAUUUUAAAACAAGACAAUUUGAUUUGCUCCGUGUUCAUGAAAACAGAAUAUAAACAAAGUGCUGGCCAAGUUUAAAGUCCUCAUCUUUAAACAGAGCUGACUUACUACCAAUGAGCACAGGGGGAGUAAUCCCUGCCCAAUUACCGGAGGCACGGAAACAACCCACGGAUAUAAUGUCACCGACUUUUCCAGAACAUGACAAUAUCAUAUAUAUAUUUUUAAGGAACAACGUGGCUGCCAAUGUCUGUCAACACAUUUACUGUCUUCCUUGCCUCUGGGCUGUUCUUCUCCAUCGCAGGAUUUUAGAGGAACACUUUGAGCGAU